rnacentral:rRNA from 1 species
GACAGAGGAGGCAAGCGUUAUUCGGAAUCACUGGGCUUAAAGGGCGCGUAGGCGGGCUGGCCAGUCUGUGGUGAAAUCCCCCGGCUUAACCGGGGAACUGCCGUGGAUACUGGAUGGCUUGAGUUUGGGAGAGGGAUGCGGAAUUCCAGGUGUAGCGGUGAAAUGCGUAGAUAUCUGGAGGAACACCGGUGGCGAAGGCGGCAUCCUGGACCAACACUGACGCUGAUGAGCGAAAGCCAGGGGAGCAAACGGGG